rnacentral:miRNA from 1 species
UGUGGCUGUCACACCUGAUGGA